CGCGUAGGCGGGGAUACAAGUCAGAUGUGAAAUCUAUGGGCUUAACCCAUAAACUGCAUUUGAAACUGUAUCUCUUGAGUGUCGGAGAGGUAGACGGAAUUCCUAGUGUAGCGGUGAAAUGCGUAGAUAUUAGGAGGAACACCAGUGGCGAAGGCGGAUUGCUGGACGACAACUGACGGUGAGGCGCGAAAGCGUGGGAGCAAACA
rnacentral:rRNA from 1 species